UGAUUGGGAGGACUAGGUACGACACACCCGAUAUACGUCCAUGCGAAAACCCCCGCUCGCAAUUAUAAGUCGAUAAAAAUUGAGUUAGAUAACGUAUAACAACGUCGCGAAGCUAAGCUUCGCGGACCACUUGGAAUGCCUCCAGGGACCACCAGUGGUCCGCGGACCACCGGUUAAGAACCAGUGCUCUAAACUGACGAUUUCUAAGCUGUUUAUGAGAGUGGAGGACUUUUGUGUCCCAAAACUCGAAAAAUUUCGCGCUCGCUGCUCUCUCAGCUUUUUCACUUUACACUGGUUUUUUUCAAACUUCUUUGAGUAUUUUUUAUUUUUGUGUUCCAAGACUCAAAAAAUUUCGCGCUCGCUGCGCUCGCGCCUUUCACUUGACAGUGGCUAUUUUCUGAUUUCUUUAGGUAUUAUUGCGUCCCAAACAUCAAAAAUUUCGCGCUCGCUACGCUCGCGGCUUCUUCUCUUAGCAGUGCCUUUUUUCCACUCUUGUAUGGAUAGAUAUUUUUGUGUACCAAAACUAUAAAAAAAUUCGCGC
rnacentral:lncRNA from 1 species